rnacentral:rRNA from 1 species
CAGUAGCCGCGGUAAUACGAAGGGGGCUAGCGUUGCUCGGAAUGACUGGGCGUAAAGGGCGCGUAGGCGGUUGGUACAGUCAGAUGUGAAAUUCCUGGGCUUAACCUGGGGGCUGCAUUUGAUACGUGCUGGCUUGAGUGGGGAAGAGGGUCGUGGAAUUCCCAGUGUAGAGGUGAAAUUCGUAGAUAUUGGGAAGAACACCGGUGGCGAAGGCGGCGACCUGGUCCAUAACUGACGCUGAGGCGCGAAAGCGUGGGGAGCAAACAGGAUUAGAUACCCCCGUAGUCCCUGUCUCUUAUAC